rnacentral:rRNA from 1 species
AUGGACGCGACAGCGGAAGCUAGCAGUGGAGAAGGAGCACGCCACGCCCACGGCGGAAAAGAUGACCGGCCGGAGAAGAAGGUUCCAUUGCUCGGCAUGUUCAGGUACGCCGACCGCCUCGACAUGCUGCUCAUGGUGGUCGGCUCGCUCGGGGCGGUGGGCAACGGCGUGUCCGAGCCCCUCAUCUCGGUCCUCUUUGGAGACGUCAUCAACUCCUUCGGCGAGAGCACGACCAGCACUGUCCUCCGUGCUGUCACCAAGGUUGUUCUCAACUUCAUAUAUCUGGGCAUUGGGACAGCAGUUGCUUCCUUUCUUCAGGUGGCAUGCUGGACAAUGGCAGGAGAAAGGCAGUCAGCCCGCAUCCGUUCUUUGUACCUGAAAUCAGUUCUGAGACAAGAUAUUGCAUUCUUCGACACAGAAAUGACAACUGGCGAAGCAGUUUCUAGAAUGUCUAGCGAUACGGUCAUAAUUCAAGAUGCUCUUGGUGAGAAGGCAGGGAAGCUUGUACAACUUACAUCUGCCUUCUUUGGGGGUUUUAUCAUAGCAUUCACAAAAGGCUGGCUCCUGACUCUUGUCAUGCUAACAUCACUACCAUUAGUUGCUAUCGCUGGUGCAGUGUCUGCACAGAUGCUAACCCGGGUUUCUAGCAAGCGUCUAACAUCGUAUAGUGAUGCGGCAAACACAGUUGAACAGACAAUUGGAUCUAUACGAACAGUUGUGUCCUUCAAUGGUGAGAAGAAAGCUAUAGAAAUGUACAAUAAAUUCAUAAAAAGUGCAUACAGGACUGUUGUUGAGGAAGGCCUUGUCAAUGGUUUUGGCAUGGGCUCUGUCUUCUGCAUCUUAUUUAGCAGUUAUGGCCUAGCCUUCUGGUAUGGUGGAAAGCUAAUCAUUGACAAAGGUUAUACCGGAGGGAAGAUCGUCACUGUUUUAUUUGCCGUAUUGAAUGGCGCAACUUCAUUAGGUAAUGCAACACCAUCAAUUUCUGCAAUUGCGGAAGGUCAAUCUGCAGCAUACAGACUGUUUGAAACGAUUGAGAGGAAGCCCGAAAUAGAUUCAGAUGAUACCAGCGGCAUGAUCAUGGAAAAUAUCAAGGGUUAUGUUGAACUAAAGGAUGUGUACUUUCGCUACCCUGCAAGACUUGGGCAGUUAAUAUUAGAUGGAUUGUCAUUACAAGUAGCCAGUGGAACAACAAUGGCCAUAGUUGGAGAGAGUGGAAGUGGCAAGUCAACUGUUAUUAGCCUAGUUGAAAGAUUCUAUGAUCCACAGGCUGGUGAAGUUUUGAUAGAUGGAGUCAACAUCAAGAAUCUGAAUCUUGAUUGGAUAAGAGGGAAGAUCGGCCUUGUUAGCCAAGAACCAUUGUUGUUUAUGACCUCCAUUAAAGAUAACAUAAUCUAUGGUAAAGAAGAUGCAACACUUGAAGAGAUCAAGAGAGCAGCCGAGCUUGCAAAUGCAGCAAACUUCAUCGACAAGUUACCAAAUGGCUACGAUACGUUGGUUGGCCAACGUGGCACUCUGCUUUCCGGAGGACAAAAACAAAGAAUUGCAAUUGCGAGAGCCAUCCUUAAAGAUCCAAAAAUCCUUUUGCUAGAUGAAGCAACAAGUGCAUUGGAUGUGGAAUCUGAGAGGAUAGUCCAGGAGGCACUCAAUAGGAUAAUGGUAGAAAGAACCACACUCGUCGUUGCUCAUCGUUUGAGCACUGUAAGGAAUGUUGACUGCAUCACAGUAGUUCAUCAAGGGAAAAUAGUUGAACAAGGUACUCAUCAUGCAUUAGUGAAGGAUCCCAAUGGAGCUUACUCCCAGCUUAUUAGGCUACAAGAAACUCGUGGUGAUGAAAGACGUAAAAUACAGGAUUCUGGAGUGCCCAAUUCCUUAUCAAAAAGCACUAGUUUGUCAAUUAGACGGUCAAUGACUAAAGAUUCUUUUGGCAAUAGCAACAGAUACUCCUUCAAGAACCCCUUAGGAUUAUCAGUUGAGUUGCAUGAGGAUGAAAUCACAGGUGAACAGAACAAAGACGACCUUUCCAAUGGGAAGACCCUUCAGAAAGCACCAAUUGGACGUCUUUUUUAUCUUAACAAGCCGGAGGUACCAUUUCUUCUGCUCGGUGCUAUAGCAGCAUCGGUGCAUGGAGUCAUUUUCCCAUUGUUUGGCAUACUAAUGUCUGGCGUUAUAAAAGCAUUCUACGAGCCACCAGAUAAGCUGCGGAAAGAUUCUAGCUUUUGGGCAUUGAUAUCUGUAGUUCUGGGGUUUGCAUCUUUCAUUGCAAUCCCAGCAGAAUACCUUUUGUUUGGAAUUGCUGGUGGCAAGCUUAUAGAGCGUGUUCGUACUCUGUCAUUUCAAAAUAUUGUGCAUCAGGAAGUUGCUUGGUUCGAUAAUCCCUCAAAUUCCAGUGGUGCACUUGGUACACGACUCUCAGUUGAUGCAUUAAAUGUUCGGCGCUUAGUAGGAGAUAACCUGGGCCUUAUAGUGCAGUCUACAGCUGCACUGAUCACUGGCUUUGUCAUAGCAUUUACAGCGGACUGGAGGCUUGCACUGAUUAUCACUUGUGUCAUUCCUUUAGUGGGUGCACAAGGUUAUGCUCAAGUGAAGUUCUUGAAAGGGUUUAGUGAAGAAGCUAAGGAGAUGUAUGAAGAUGCAAGUCAAGUUGCAACUGAUGCUGUUGGCAGUAUCAGAACUAUAGCAUCUUUCUGUGCAGAGAAAAGAGUGGUUACAACGUAUAACAAGAAAUGUGAAGCUUUAAGGAAACAGGGAAUUCGAAGUGGAAUCGUUGGAGGGCUUGGUUUUGGUUUUUCAUUCUUAGUGUUGUAUCUUACAUAUGCUCUAUGUUUCUAUGUUGGUGCACAGUUUGUACGUCAGGGAAAAACUACUUUUGCAGAUGUUUUCAAAGUUUUCUUUGCCUUGGUUUUGGCAGCUGUUGGGGUUUCGCAGGCAAGUGCAUUGGCAUCUAAUGCAACAAAGGCAAGGGAUUCAGCCAUUUCUGUUUUCAGUAUUCUAGACAGGAAGUCGAAAAUUGACACGAGUAACGACGAGGGCCUGGUAUUGGAAAAUGUCACUGGUGACAUUCAUUUCAGUAACGUCAGUUUCAAGUACCCAUCACGCCCUGAUGUCCAAAUAUUCAGUGACUUUACCUUGCACAUUCCUUCCAGAAAGACCAUCGCACUAGUUGGAGAAAGUGGUAGUGGCAAGUCCACUAUAAUUGCUUUACUGGAGCGCUUCUAUGAUCCUGAUUCUGGUAUAAUCUCAGUAGAUGGAGUCGAAAUUAAGAGCUUGAGAAUUAGCUGGUUGAGGGAUCAGAUGGGGCUGGUAGGCCAGGAGCCAGUACUUUUCAAUGACACAAUCCGUGCAAACAUAACAUAUGGGAAACACGGAGAAGUGACAGAGGAAGAAGUCACGGCUGUGGCCAAGGCAGCAAAUGCUCAUGAGUUCAUAUCAAGCUUGCCACAGGGAUACGACACUCUGGUUGGCGAGAAAGGAGUGCAACUAUCUGGUGGACAGAAGCAGAGGGUAGCUAUCGCAAGGGCCAUUAUAAAGGACCCGAAGAUACUACUACUUGAUGAGGCAACCAGUGCCCUGGAUGCAGAAUCGGAGCGCAUCGUUCAAGAUGCAUUGGAUCGAGUCAUGGUGAGCAGGACCACCAUAGUGGUGGCUCACCGCCUCUCCACAAUCAAAGGGGCUGAUAUGAUUGCAGUCCUCAAGGAAGGCAAAAUUGCAGAAAAGGGAAAGCAUGAGGCCCUAAUGGGAAUCAAGGAUGGGGUCUACGCUUCACUAGUAGAACUUCGCUCAAAUUCCUGA